AUGAGGCCGCCUAUGAAGGGUAAGAUCCUAUGGAGCACCAGGCAAGGUCUGGAGGACCAGGCUAGAGUACGAAACAACUCACAGCAAGCAGCAAGGUGCAGCUGCACGGAAACAGAAACUGAACUCCGAUAGGGAUGUCUCAAAAGUAAGUGGUCACCUUUUGUUGAAUACUUGUGACCAGGACUGGGGCAAGCACAGUCCUGUACAGCCUACUACAAACUGGACUUGCCUUGCCUUGAUUCUGCAAUCUGCCACCACAGACCACUUCCCCUGCCCCAAGCCAGCAAGCUUACCUUAUGGGCAGGGGAAGGCAGAGAAAAUGACAGGUGUUUCCAGCCCCCUAAGCAAGCUCUUUCUCAUCAGGCACUGGGUUUGGGAUUACAACUUCCACAAUCCCUGGAGGAAACGUUAUGCUCUCCGUGCCAUCUUGCCAAAACCAAUAGUGGAAGCUCUUUGGAGAACUACAUCUCCCAGCAACUUCUGGGCUUUCUACUCUGAGAGUCCAUUACCCAGCAUGUCAGAGAAAAAAGCAUGGAGAAAGAAGGAAAGAAGGG